rnacentral:guide_RNA from 1 species
AAAAUUUUAGUGAGUAUAUGUAUGAGAUAGUAGAUUGUGAAU